AACGAACGCUGGCGGCAUGCCUAACACAUGCAAGUCGAACGAAGCCUUCGGGCUUAGUGGCGCACGGGUGCGUAACACGUGGGAAUCUGCCCUUCGGUUCGGAAUAACAGUUAGAAAUGACCGCUAAUACCGGAUGAUGACGAAAGUCCAAAGAUUUAUCGCCGAAGGAUGAGCCCGCGUAGGAUUAGGUAGUUGGUAGGGUAAUGGCCUACCAAGCCGACGAUCCUUAGCUGGUCUGAGAGGAUGAUCAGCCACACUGGGACUGAGACACGGCCCAGACUCCUACGGGAGGCAGCAGUGGGGAAUAUUGGACAAUGGGCGAAAGCCUGAUCCAGCAAUGCCGCGUGAGUGAUGAAGGCCUUAGGGUUGUAAAGCUCUUUUACCAGGGAUGAUAAUGACAGUACCUCCUUAGCAAGCACCGGCUAACUUCGUGCCAGCAGCCGCGGUAAU
rnacentral:rRNA from 1 species